rnacentral:rRNA from 1 species
UGGGGAAUAUUGCACAAUGGGCGAAAGCCUGAUGCAGCAACGCCGCGUGAGCGAUGAAGGCCUUUGGGUCGUAAAGCUCUGUCCUAGGGGAAGAAUAAAUGACGGUACCCUUGGAGGAAGCCCCGGCUAACUACGUGCCAGCAGCCGCGGUAAUACGUAGGGGGCAAGCGUUAGCCGGAAUUAUUGGGCGUAAAGAGUGCGUAGGUGGGUUUGUAAGCGCGGGGUGAAAGGCAAUAGCUCAACUAUUGUAAGCCCUGCGAACUGUGAGACUUGAGUGCAGGAGAGGAAAGCGGAAUUCCUAGUGUAGCGGUGAAAUGCGUAGAUAUUAGGAGGAACACCAGUGGCGAAGGCGGCUUUCUGGACUGUAACUGACACUGAGGCACGAAAGCGUGGGGAGCAAACA